GCAAGUCGAACGGCAGCACGGGCUUCGGUCUGGUGGCGAGUGGCGAACGGGUGAGUAAUAUAUCGGAACAUACCCUAGAGUGGGGGAUAACGUAGCGAAAGUUACGCUAAUACCGCAUACGAACUCAGGUUGAAAGUGGGGGAUCGCAAGACCUCAUGCUCAUGGAGUGGCCGAUAUCUGAUUAGCUAGUUGGUGAGGUAAUGGCUCACCAAGGCGACGAUCAGUAGCUGGUCUGAGAGGACGACCAGCCACACUGGAACUGAGACACGGUCCAGACUCCUACGGGAGGCAGCAGUGGGGAAUUUUGGACAAUGGGGGCAACCCUGAUCCAGCAAUGCCGCGUGAGUGAAGAAGGCCUUCGGGUUGUAAAGCUCUUUUGUCAGGGAAGAAACGGUGAGUUCUAAUACAACUUGCUAAUGACGGUACCUGAAGAAUAAGCACCGGCUAACUACGUGCCAGCAGCCGCGGUAAUACGUAGGGUGCAAGCGUUAAUCGGAAUUACUGGGCGUAAAGCGUGCGCAGGCGGUUAUAUAAGUCAGAUGUGAAAUCCCCGGGCUCAACCUGGGAACUGCAUUUGAGACUGUAUGGCUAGAGUGUGUCAGAGGGGGGUAGAAUUCCACGUGUAGCAGUGAAAUGCGUAGAGAUGUGGAGGAAUACCGAUGGCGAAGGCAGCCCCCUGGGAUAACACUGACGCUCAUGCACGAAAGCGUGGGGAGCAAACAGGAUUAGAUACCCUGGUAGUCCACGCCCUAAACGAUGUCUACUAGUUGUCGGGACUUAAUUGUCUUGGUAACGCAGCUAACGCGUGAAGUAGACCGCCUGGGGAGUACGGUCGCAAGAUUAAAACUCAAAGGAAUUGACGGGGACCCGCACAAGCGGUGGAUGAUGUGGAUUAAUUCGAUGCUACGCGAAAAACCUUUACUACCCUUGACAUGGUUGGAAUUCCGAAGAGAUUUGGAAGUGCU
rnacentral:rRNA from 1 species